rnacentral:rRNA from 1 species
AUUGAACGCUGGCGGCAUGCCUUACACAUGCAAGUCGAACGGCAGCACGGGAGCUUGCUCCUGGUGGCGAGUGGCGAACGGGUGAGUAAAGCAUCGGAACGUAUCCGGAAGUGGGGGAUAACGUAGCGAAAGUUACGCUAAUACCGCAUAUUCUGUGAGCAGGAAAGAGGGGGAUCGCAAGACCUCUCGCUUUCGGAGCGGCCGAUGUCGGAUUAGCUAGUUGGUGGGGUAAAGGGCUCACCAAGGCAACGAUCCGUAGCGGGUCUGAGAGGAUGAUCCGCCACACUGGAACUGAGACACGGUCCAGACUCCUACGGGAGGCAGCAGUGGGGAAUUUUGGACAAUGGGCGCAAGCCUGAUCCAGCCAUGCCGCGUGAGUGAAGAAGGCCUCGGUU